GGAAGGAAAACUAAGGAGGGAGCACGACCGUUUCUUUCCGAAUCACAAAAGUGUAGUGGAAGUGACGACAUAUAGUACGCGUCAUGAGGACGUCAUAUCGAUCAGGUGACUGGAGGCAGCCAAUCUGCGGUGAGCCUUCGCCACAACUGGGACAAACAAACUGGGGCAGCUGCCGGCGUGGAUGGUGGUUUCUGGCGCCCGGCGAGGUGUUAGCAAUAAGAGAUAGAUACGAGAUACUAGCAGUUAAGAUUACUAAACCGACGCACAAGUGAUACGAUGGAUAGAGCAGCCCUCCUCUGCUCUUUCGAUAUAUAAGAGCAUAUGUUGGCUCUUCAGAAGGGGAUGCAGUUAGUGCAUUUAUGCACGUUUCACACAGCAGGGACUUCUGAAGUUUGCGCACAACAAAUCCUGCUAUCUUGGCAGCAGUUGCCUUCGAUCGCUUGUCCCGUUCAAGACCUCUUCAGAAUGUGCGGCUCUUGCACUGCUCACAUGGAGUAUCGCAAUGUGCUCCUGUGGCAAGCAGUUGCCAGUGGUGAUGUCUCUGACUUCGUUUUGCACAAUCAGUCGCUUGAAUGCUGCGGCGAACUGUUGGGCACUAGGAUUGUCGUUGCACCGUCCAUGGGAUCUGAUAGCACCAAAGAAAAGUUCGAGAUGAUCUUGGCUCACCUUAUGAGAUGCCCAAGAAUCCAGUCUUCCGAUUGGUCUUCAAUAGUGGGAUGCCAUUUGGAUGUUCUCUCAGGCUGGACAGAUCCCUUGUGUGCGACAUUCUGCAAUGGCAUCCGCAACAGACAUACUUAGAACUUGAGCUGCCAAACUGACUUUCAUUGGUUGUCUUCGCCAAUCGAUAUGUGAGCUGCGGAGACGGUUAGCAAGCGCAUUUCUCACGAGCUUCAGCAUAUGACAAGGAUCCAUGAAAACGACAACAACUUCACCUGUUUCAGGGUGCUGGAAACUUGUCUUCAAAUUUUUGGGGUCACUGAAGUUGCACCCAAGCUGUCUAAACAUUGCGAAGUUUGACGGUGCCCCAUCACAAGUUAAGGAGACAACAGUCGCUCCCACUUCAUGGGCAAGGACAAGACUGCGUUGUACUAGGUCAGCCCUUUGUUCACCGCCAAGUCCAUCAACAAGAAAAUAGCCCAACGGGACCUUCCACCUUCCAUUAAUAGCCACUGCCAUUAUCACGAAUGCUGCCUUAGCCAUUGGCAAGCAAUCGCCAUCUGUUCCAGUGCCCAUGUCAACAUAGCCUUGGAAUUGUUUGCCGUCCCAUUGGAGCUGCUGUCUGAUUGAAAUUUCAUCCACCAUGAGACUGCAUAAUGUUGGAAAGCCUGACUUGCUAUUCUCUGUUGCUUUCAUUUUCAAUGCAUUCAGAGCUUCUUUUGAGAACCCUGGCCUGCCAUCAACUGAUUGGUACCAUUUGCUCAGUGUUUUUGGAUGAGGCAGGCAGGUGUCGAAUACACUCCGUACAUAGUUAUAGGCCCGAGGUGAAUAAAAAUGUAAAGUCAAUGCAAAUGCUCGCAGCUGAGGUGAGUACUGUGUGGGGAGGGGAUUUCCUGUGCGUUUUGCAACCUGUCUUUUCAAUAAUUCUUGAUUUGUAGCACCAAGGCUCUCCAAAACUGCAACAUUCUCCUCAAGCAGGAUCUUCUGUCUUGUUAAAUCCUUAAUCACACCUUUCAGCCCCGCAUUUCUUUUCUUUAAACGUCGAUUUGCCUGUUGAAGUCUCUUUAUCUGUUUGCUGCUUUUGGUAUGUAGGGACGUAUACCACUUGACCCGUUCUCUUAAGAAGGCUUUCUCUGGAGUAUCAGCUGUGGAUUUUGCCUAAAACAGAUCCAUAUACAACAUAAAUUUUUGUGAUGUACAUUUUUCCGUUUUCUGACGUGGUAUGUCCUUGUUAGAAUCUUGUGAGGAUGGGAAGGUUUUAUCCUACAGCACACUUUGCCAUCUGUGCACAGGACCCGUAAACUGACUCAAACCGGCAUAUAUGUGGUGCAUGUAUACAUGGUGUCUACUAAACCCCUCCUUACUGUUUUCUAUCCUUUUAAUAGAACUGUCAGGUCUACUUGAAACGACCACGAGUGGGAAGGAAA